GGGCGAAUAGCUCAGUUGGUAGAGCACCGCCCUUACAAGGCGGCUGUCACAGGUUCGAGCCCUGUUUCGCCCA
rnacentral:tRNA from 1 species